AUUUAAGCAACUUGCUGAAUAUUUUUUGGGAGUGCCCACUGAUUAUACCACUUUGGCAGGAAGUGGAAUCUUUUUUUUUAAUGGGGUUAAGUGUAGAUAUUAAGUGGCAACCAGAAAGCUAUCUUUUUCACAUGUUCCAGCUAACACCUCAGGAGGAAGUAUUAACAAUAAUGAUACACUGUUUAUUAGCAACUAAAUUAGUUAUGGCUUAUAGGUGGAAACAAAC